rnacentral:rRNA from 1 species
GUGGGGAAUAUUGCGCAAUGGGGGAAACCCUGACGCAGCAACGCCGCGUGAUUGAAGAAGGCCUUCGGGUUGUAAACCUCUGUCCUUGGUGACGAAAAAAAUGACGGUAGCCAAGGAGGAAGCCCCGGCUAACUACGUGCCAGCAGCCGCGGUAAUACGUAGGGGGCGAGCGUUGUCCGGAAUUACUGGGCGUAAAGGGUGCGUAGGUGGCCUUUUAAGUUGGAUGUGAAAUACCCGGGGUUAACUUGGGGGGUGCAUCUAAUACUGGAGGGCUAGAGUGCAGGAGAGGGAAGCGGAAUUCCUAGUGUAGCGGUGAAAUGCGUAGAUAUUAGGAGGAACACCAGUGGCGAAGGCGGCUUUCUGGACUGUAACUGACACUGAGGCACGAAAGCGUGGGGAGCAAACAGGAUUAGAAACCCUAGUAGUCC